AGGGAGACCCACAAAGCAAGUCGGCACGUCUAAGUCGCAAGUCGCAAAUGAGAUGACUGGCGAAUGGCGAAAGUGCGACUUGGUUUGUUAUCCCAAGGUCGGUCGAAGAAUAGUGGUGAGGCUUUCAAACUAUAUUGGUUCGGUUAAUUGGGCUAUUAGCUCAGGUGGUUAGAGCGCACCCCUGAUAAGGGUGAGGUCCCUGGUUCGAGUCCAGGAUGGCCCACGUUGAAAAAAAAAGUGUGAUAGAAAAGUAUUGUUGAGAAAAAUUUCAGCAACUGCACGAUAUGAAAAUCGUCAGACUGCUGGAUACGUUUCCAGCCAGAACCUUGAAAACUGCAUAGUAACGCGUAAAGAAGGUAAAAGGUAAAAGGUAAAAGGAAGUUUUUCACUUUCCCCCUUACCCAUUCCCCUUUAACCUUUGGAAAAUAACACCAAUGU
rnacentral:tRNA from 1 species